GUUGAGUGAAGCCUGCUCUCUGGUGCCUCUGAAACAGAAAAGAGAAGUCUUUGCCUGCAUUUGAAGUUUUCCCACUGUCAGCCCUGAAGGAAGGGAUGUCACAGAUAACCGCUUGGUGGUUCUUCUUGCUCGGAGGAGCCGGGUUCCUGCGGUUACCUCUUCUGCCUCUGCUUCUACAACAUCAAGCUGUAUAGUUGCUUGAAGAGGAGAAGGAAGAAGAAAGAACAUGUGAGGAUAGCAAUUGCAAACAUGGUCUUCUGGAAAAAUGGUGUGAUGUGCUGCUAUACUGCCUUGGAAACUUUUCUUCCUUGGGAUUGAAAAUAAAAAGCAGACUUGCUUUCCUGCUGUUAGACUGCUUACUGCACAAAGUUGCCUCUUAGUGGCCAUAGUCUUGCCACGUUGAUGACCUCUUCUGGACGCUUCACUUUGCCCUGUGUGGUUUUCACUUUGGCCAUGAUGGAGUUAGGAAAAGGGACCUUCAACUAGGAGAGUUAAAUCAGUGUAAUGAAGCGAGUUUUACUUGUUCUCCAGAAAUGCAGCCAAAACUCGGUCACUCACAUACCAUCAAAAUGGAUGUCCCAUAUCUAGGAGCCUUUUCUGAAACAUUUUUAAAGGGAUUUUUUUAUGUUCAUAAGUUUUUAUGGGUUUUUUGUUGGUGGUGGUGGUGGUUUAUGUUUCGCCUGAAUGUAUGCAAGUGCACCAAAUGUGUAGUGCCUACAGAGGCCAGAAAAUGGUAUCAGACUCCAAUGUGUACUAGGAGCUGCUCUGCAAAGCAGCAAGUGCUCUUAACCACUGAACCAUCUCGCUAGUUCCAACUAGGAGCAUUCUUAAUUAUUUUCUUCUGUGAAAUCAAACUCAGCUCAGUAGACAUUGUAAAGGCAAAUUUAAAAUGCUACUAUAGGGCCAGUGAAACGGGCCACCAAGCCUGAGUUCAAUCCCCAGGAUGCACAUGGUUGAAAGAGAGAACCAGCUCCCACAAGUUGCCCUCUGACCUCCACAUGAACACGCACACACACAGACACACACAGACACACACACACACACACACACACACACACACACACACACACACACACACAAAUACAUUUCUAAAAGGUUUAUUUUAAUGUGGGUGUGUGGGUAUGUAUAUAUACACAUAAGUGCGGGGACCUAUAGAGGUCAGAGAGGGCAUCAUAUCCACUGGGGCUGCAGUUAUAGGCAGUUGAGAGCCUACCAACGUAAGUGUUGGAAACUGGCUCAUAAACCAUGGAACCAUCUUUCUAGUUCCACAGUGAAUAAGAGCUGGAAAGGGGGAUCAGUCUUCUUCCAAAGGACUUGGGUUCAAUUCCCAGAACCCACAUGGCAGCUCAUAACCAUCUCUGGUUCCAGGGGAUCUGAUGCCCUCUUCUGGUCUCUGCAGGUACCAGGCACACACACAGUGUACUGACCUAUAUGCAAGCAAAAUAUCCAUAUACAUAAAAUAUAUAAAUAUAAAAAUAUAAUAAAAUAAUAAAGUGAUACCAUAUGACUCCUAGGUAAGAUGGCCAACUAGGACCUGUUUCCAUGUGACUUGGUGAAGGAGGACAGCUGGAAUAUAAAACAGUUUGCUAUAUUCCAAAGACAGAGGAGCAUUUAAGAAAUCCACAAAAGACAGCCAAAAAGUGCACUGCAAAUGGCUGGUAAUGUACCAAAAAGGACUAAGCUGAGCUGAACACAGGCUCUGGAUGCCCACUGGGAGAGAGGGAGGGAAGCAAAAGUGUCAUUCAAAAGCUAACCUGGGCAAUCCUGCUGAAAGGAGAUGGGCACUCCUCCUCAAGACAGGCAUGCAGCCUCACAAGCAUAAAAACAUUAUAGGUUUUGUUGAGACAGGUUUCCUUUAUCAACAAGUGAGCAGUUGAGCGGAAUUCUAUUUUUCCCCACUCUGUCUGAUUCCAAGGGAAGUAGUGAGGAAUCAUUGUUUAAAAUUGAACUAUCCUGGGGCUCUGAGAAGAGCCUAAACUUAACCUCCACAUCCUCAAGAAUUUGAAGUAACCCUAGGAGGCAGUUGUGGAGAGCAGGAGUACAUGAUGUUGACAAACUGAAAAGCUGGGUAAUCUGGGCAGAGAGCUUGGCUCAGGCAGUGCAGUGCAUGGGGAAAGGUAGUCAAUCCCCAGUGGUAGCCCUGAACCCACAGUCAACAGGCAGAUAAAGUUCUGGACCUACAUAUCUGCCAUACUCAAUAUUUAAACCCAGCUUAAGAUAUAUGAGACCCUGUCUCAAAAGUAAAUAAGUAGACAAAUAAAAAUUUAAAAAUCACUAGCUGAUUGGUUAUAAACAAAUAAAAAAUUUCCAAAGAAUAAAUGAAGGAAAAAUUCCCAUUCACAAUUGCUUCAAAUGAAUGAACAAACAACAAAACCAACAAGUAAUAUCUAAGAGUUAAACCGAGUGAAAGAUUUCUACAGUAAAAGCCUUAAAACACUAAAGAAUGGAUUGAAGAAUUCACUUUCCACACUGUAAUAGGAUUCUCCAGGGCAGCAGUUCUCAACCUGUGGGUCAUGACACCAUCAGAUAUUCUGCAUAUCAGAUAUUCACAUUACAAUUCAUAACAGUAGUAAAAUUACAGUUAUGAAGGAGCAAUGAAAUAAUUUUAUGGUUGGGGAGGUUACCACAACAUGAGGAACUGUAUUAAAGGGUUGAGUAUUAGGAAGGUUGAGAACCACUGCUAUAGAAAAACAGAACUGAUAGAAUAAUACAGGGGUGAGGGUUUUAUCAGUGUCUCACAGGUUGUGGUCCAGCUAAUCCAGCACUGACUGUCCACCAACAGAAAGCCGAAGAAUCUGGUUGUUCUGUCCACAAGGCUGAAUGUCUCAGCUAGUCUUAAGUGUACACUGGAAUCCUGAAGACAUAGACUAAUGCCGGUGAAGAAAUGGACUUGCCAGCCAUAGUAAGAGAGAGUAGGUAAAGAGAGAGAAGGGGUGGGGAGGGGGAGGGAGUUUCCUCCUUGUGUCUUUUAUAUAGGCUACCACAAGAAGGUAUGGCCCAGAUUAAAGGUCGAUCUUCCCACCUCAAAAAAUUUAGAUUAAAAGAGGGUCUUCCUACUUCAAAUGAUUUAAUUAAGAAAAAACUUCUUACAGGAGCACCCAGCUCCUUGGGUUUUAGUUCAUUUCAGAGGUAGUUAAGUUGACAAUCAAGAAUAACCACACAGGUUUAUGAAUUUUUAGAAUUAAAAUUCUGAAAAUGCACCUAUUACCAAAAAUCAUCUAUAGAUUCAGCAAAAUUUCCAUCAAAAUUCUGAUAGCGUUCUUCACAGAGAGGGCAAAACCAUUCUGUAAUUCAUAUGGAAGCACAAAUAACCCCAAUUAGCAUAGCUGAGCAGGAAGAGAGAGCCAGCGUCAUCCCAAUGCCUGUCUCAAUCUUCACUACAGAGCCAUAGUGACAAAACCAGUGUAGCACUGGUACAAACACACACACACACACACACACACACACACACACACAUACACACACCAAUGGAGGAUCAGAAAUGCACGCACAUGACUAUAGCCACCUAACAUUUAACAACAGUGUCAAAAACAACCACCCAAAACUAGCAAGCCUCUUCAACAAAACUGGAUACCUACAUUCAAAACAAUGAAACUGAAUCUGUAGCUCUCCCCAUACACAGCAAAACGGUUCAAAGGUCAUGUAAGAUCCUGAAACUGCGGCAGGAAAAUGUGUGCAAAACAUUUCAAGCUAAUGGCAUAGAGAAGGUCUUCCUGAAUACAACUCUGAUAGUGUAUGAGAAUAAUACAAAAACUGACAAAUGAGUUUGCAUAACUUUAAAAGGUUUAAUUAAAAUUAAUGAGGAUGGAAUAGAAACUCACUUAGUACAAGGACAAAAACAUUAGUAAUACAAAGCAAGAGAGUACCAGCCACUUCACCCCAAGCUAAAACACAUGCUUCUAACUGAACUAUACGUGGUCAGGGUUUGAGUACCACUCUUGUCUGGCUGAAGACUAACAAGCAUGAGAGACUAUCAGCUCCUAGGCAAGAAGCAGAACAGGCUGAGAGCCACAAGUUGGCUUUCCAAAUCUGACAAUUAUUUAAGAAAUGUGUGGAGGUCAUCUUUCAAGAGAGAGAACAUUUAAAAGCUUCUCAUUUUGAUUUAUAUCUUUAUAAAAAACACACUGCACAUCUGAUUUGACAACACUGAGCAACAUUCCCAACUUUAGUGGUAAAAUCAUUAAGUAGCACUUUCUGUAGAUGACUGGCUGUGUACAGAUGUUCACUUAGCUUCGUCAAAUUUCUACGCUUGGUUCUUUUCUGUGCCCCUCAAUAUUCCAUUGCUCCUUAUUUCUGUUGACUAAGAAGUCAGUUAAGAAGGUGAGUACAUCCUUAGAUUAUGAAAUCUGUGGUACCACGUCUCCAUAUUUUUAAAAUGGGCAUGUGUUUUAAUUUAACAUGCUAAUUUUAUCCAGAGCAAAUUUAUUGAACACUUACUCCUUUGUGCUGUGCAUAUGUAAAUUUCUUUCCAUAUCCAUUAGUUGAAUUGACUUAAGAUGAGAGUAACAAAAAAAAUGGCCUGUGAGGUAGGUAGCUCAUGGCUUAUAUCUGUAAAUAAACUUUCAUUGGAACACUG